UUUAUGACUUAAGUCCUAUUAGCACUAAGCUCUUCAUUUAAAAACUUGUAAUACAGUGUAUAUCAGAAAAAGAAUGUUAUCUUUUAAUUUAAUACGCAAUGAGUUUUAAUUUUAUGUAUAUUAAAUUUGCUUUUUUUAGAUCUAAGUAAUUAGAUUUGAAUAGGGUUUUUAAGUGUUGUGUCACUAGAUGCAAAGGUAACUACAAUGUUACAAGGUCAGUGAAAUUAUUUGGCCUUUUAAAUAAAAAGAAUGUGAAAGAAGAAAAAAAAUAGAUAAGUGUUAUACUUUGAGGUAAUGUUUCAGAUAGCUCAAAUAAUUUUGUUUAUGAAGAUCAUUGGCCUAAAAAGUAGUUCAAGUCAAAUUCCAACUCCACAGACACCACCAAUUUGUUCAAGUCAAAUUCCAACUCCACAGACACCACCAACACUAACUAAUAAAUCAUAGCCAUCUUUAAAAAGUGCUGUGCCUGAUAAAAUAAAGAUUUUUGUGAAUGGGGACAAUAUUACAUUAUUCAAAGAUUUGUAUAGUAAAAUGUCUACUUUUUCCAUUUCAGUAAUAUUAAGUAUCUAUGAAAACUGUUUACAUCUUCAAUUUGCUAUAUUCUAUUGGACCAAAAUUUAUUUUGCCUGUAUUAGUCAUCUUCAUGCUGUAUUAGUCAUCUUCAUGCUGCAUUAGUCAUUUUUAUGUUGCAUUACACUAUCUGAAUUCUUUACCAAUUGGUCACAGGAAAAGUAUUAUUAUUGGACAGGUGUUAAGUAUGAACUCAUUACUGUUUAUUGGUAAAAAAAAGUAUUCUCCUGAUAUGGUUGCCAGGGCAUUUGAGUACUUUUUAUUGUCAAGAACUCUUUACUUUUGAUUACCUGAUGACUAUAAACUACCAAGUAUAUCACUGAUCCUAAAAUUGACAUCUAAAAAUAGAAAGACAGGUUAUCCUACUAAUUGAUGAAAUUUAUGUUAUAUGACAGUUUAAUUAUCAAUGAGGAAACAUUUUUGGUAAAUCUGUUAAUUUCGAAAUGAAUUAACAAAAACAGUUUUGGGUAUAAUAAUUUGUUUUUGGUGAAAAACAGUUUUUGUAUAAAGCAUUAGCAGUAACAGGUUUAGAUGCUAAUUUUCAAUAUAAUCAAACAACGCAAAUGUUUGAAGUGUGUUUCUGUUAUUGCUAUUCUUGGCAACAAUAACAAAAUAAAUAAAAAAUUUUUUGCAAUGUUUAAUCUUCAAAAUACUUGGUGCAUUUAUGAAAACAAAAGAUAUUUUAAAAAACAUAAUGAAAUAUAAUAAGAAGCUAAAGUAGUUACAGUCGACUCUUGAUAUCUCGAAUACUUGGUAUCUCGAACUUUUGAGUAUCUCAAACUUUUUUAGCUGUCCUAUGGACAUAAUGUACUAGUUUAGGCUAAAAUCCUCUCGAUAUCUCGAACCUUAAUAUCUCAAACUUUUUGGUAUCUCGAACAAUAUUUUCGGUCCACAGGGCAAUUUUCUCUCGUUAUCUCGAACUAUUCAACAUUUUUUUUUUCAAAAAUGUUUUAAUAAAAUUUAAUUUUUUUAAAAUUCCAAUUUUUCGAAAAAAAAAAAAAUUUAAUUCGAUUUUUUAAUUCGAUUUUUUUUAAGAAUCGAAUUUCUGAAAAGUUUUCCUUUAAUAUAUUGAUUUAUUCUUUUUGUCUAACGCAACAACAUGCCGCUCGUUAAACGAAAACUCACGAACAAAUCUAUAAAAGAAAAAUGCAAGGCAUUAAAAGACCUAGAGACAGGGAUGUCUAACAAAGAGGUUGCCAAAAAGUAUGGAGUCCCAAAGAACACAUUAUCAACCUGGAUUAAAAAUAAAACCAAGUUAUUAACCUCACUGGAAAUAAAAUGGCACUAAAUCUAAACGGAAGAAACUUUGUAGUGGUAAUUUCAAAAAUGUAGACAAGGCCAUAUACACGUGGUUCGUUGCAAAAAAAAGUCAACAAGUACCAAUUGAUGGUAUCAUACUAAAAGAAAAAGCACUAAAAUUCGCAGAAGCAUUAGGAGAGUUGGAUUUUAAAGCAUCUGAUUGUUGGUUUCAUAAUUUGAAAGAAAGUUAGCACUCCUAGUGGAUAACUGUUCUGCCCACCCACACAUUGAAGGGCUAAGCAACAUCAACCUAAUAUUUUCCCCCCUAACACCACAUCUGUCCUUCACCCCAUGAAUCAAGGCAUAAUACGAAGUCUUAAAGCUAAUUGUCGUCACAAAAUUGCGCGUUUGUGUAUCAAGGCUAUCAAUAAUAACGAACCCAUGCCAAAAAUUUCUAUACUUCAAGCAAUGAAGAUCUUGUUUCUUUGUGGAAUGCUGUGUUGAAGGAGACUGUCAUCAACUGCUUUAAAAAAGCUGGUAUCAGCAAAACAAACAAGAGUAUGGAAGAAGCUGAUGAUGAUCAUCCUUUUAAAUUUUUGACAGAAGAACUUAACAGUUUGCAAGAGUUAAAUCCUCAUGCCAUUCAAGAAGAUCUCUCAGCGGAAUCUUACAUUGGUUUAAAUUGCGAUGUAGUAACCACCGGUUCACUUGCUACUGAUGCUGAAAUCAUUGCUCAGAUUUUAGACCCUAAUUUUAAAAAUGACGAUAAUUAAGUUGAAGAUAGCGUUGACGAAGUUAUUGACGUCGAAGCCCCGCCACGCCCAUCUGAUAUUCAAUUAAAAAUUGCUUUUGAAACGAUUCAAAAUGCUUCGCUAUACAGCUCAAAAUACGGAAAUGAAAUACAAUCCCUAGCACUAAAACUUGAGGAUUUAAUGAAGAUGGAAAAGAUGGAUAAUUUAAAGCAAUAUCAGAUAACAGAUUUUUUCCAAAA